rnacentral:rRNA from 1 species
CGGCGGACGGGUGAGUAACACGUGGAUAACCUACCUAUAAGACUGGGAUAACUUCGGGAAACCGGAGCUAAUACCGGAUAAUAUAUUGAACCGCAUGGUUCAACAGUGAAAGACGGUUUUGCUGUCACUUAUAGAUGGAUCCGCGCCGCAUUAGCUAGUUGGUAAGGUAACGGCUUACCAAGGCGACGAUGCGUAGCCGAACUGAGAGGGUGAUCGGCCACACUGGAACUGAGACACGGUCCAG